UGAUAUUAAUGAAGUGUUACUUGGCACGGACAAGUUUGCAGUCCUUCCAAGCCGGCUGACAUAAUUCAAAGUAGGAAAAGACCCUCCCACUUGGGCUUGGGGUGGGGGGAGCUCCUCUGCCUGCCUGACUGGCUCUGGAACAGAGAGAGCUGUUGUCAUCUGAAGGACUUUAGAAAGUCAUCAAUCCAUACUAAGAGCAGUGAGGAAAAGGAAAGCAAGUGUUAUGCCCUUCCGCAGAGGGAGCCUCGGCUGCCUGUAGCUGGUACCAAGUUGGGGCUCCGGAGUCCUGGACUGGCAUGCUCGACAGACGCCUCCUUUCUCCUCGCCCUGCACGCAUUCUUCCUGGGAUUAUUUCCAUUUACCUGGUUCACUGAUUACUGAAAACACCUGCAAAAGAGCCUCCAUCUAAAUGCCUUUGAAAUGACUUGGAAAAUAAAAAUAUUUUUUCUUUACUUGAUGGAACCACUGGAAAAAAAACUAAGGUAAAAGUUUAAGUGUCAACAAUAAUCGUUAGGAGAUGUGUGAGGUGGGGAAAUAAUUUCUUGUGCUGCAUAGACUUCCAAACAUAAACCCUCCAUUAUUGCUGCAUAAAGAGUAAUGGAAGCCAGG
rnacentral:lncRNA from 1 species